rnacentral:rRNA from 1 species
AGCAUAUUAAUGAGGGGAGGAAAAGAAACUAACAAGGAUUUUCUUAGUAGCGGCGAGCGAAAAGAAAAUAGUUCAGCACUAAGUCACUUUGUCUUUAUGGCAAAUGUGAGAUGCAGUGUAUGGAGUGUCAAAUUUCUAGUAUGAGAAAUUAACGAUUUAAGUCCUUCUUAAAUGAGGCCAUUUACCCAAAGAGGGUGCCAGGCCCGUAUAACGUUAAUGAUUAUUAGAUGACAUUUCCAAAGAGUCGUGUUGCUUGAUAGUGCAGCACUAAGUGGGUGGUAAACUCCAUCUAAAACUAAAUAUAACCAUGAGACCGAUAGUAAACAAGUACCGUGAGGGAAAGUUGAAAAGAACUCUGAAUAGAGAGUUAAAUAGUACGUGAAACUGCUUAGAGGUUAAGCCCGAUGAACCUGAAUAUCCGAUAUGGAAAAUUCAUCAUUAUGAUUUUAAUAUUAAUAAUAUUAUUAAUAAUGGUGUGCAUUUUUUCUAUAAAGGACAUUGUAAUCUAUUAAUAUCCAAAUAUAUAUUUAUCAUAAGAUCAUUUGCGUAUGUUUAUUCGAAUUAUUUUGCUUGCAAUUUAAUACAGAACAAAUGCUUUUGAUUUGAUAAAGUGUUGAUAGAUUUAUUAUAUCAUAGUGCUUAAAUAUAAUUUUAUAUUUUAUAAUAUCAUUAUCCCAUUAAUCAUUAUUGAUUUAUGUUUUAUGGUUAUUAUAUGCACUUAUAGGAUUAACACUGCGAAAGAUUCCGGAUACCCUCGGGACCCGUCUUGAAACACGGACCAAGGAGUCUAACAUAUUUGCAAGUUAUUGGGAAUAAAAAAAAACCUAAUAGCGUAAUUAACAUAACUUAUAAUUAUGGGAUUAGUUUUUAGCCUAUAUUUUUUAUAAUCUAUUAAUUCAAUCCCGGGGCGUUCUGUACAGUUAUGUAUAAUAAUAUUUAUAUUAAUUUAUACCACUAACUAGAGCGUACCUUGAGCAAAUAUGCUGUGACCCGAAAGAUGGUGAACUAUACUUGAUCAGGCUGAAGUCAGGGGAAACCCUGAUGGAAGACCGAAACAGUUCUGACGUGCAAAUCGAUUGUCAGAAUUGAGUAUAGGGGCGAAAGACCAAUCGAACCAUCUAGUAGCUGGUUCCCUCCGAAGUUUCCCUCAGGAUAGCUGGUGCAUUUAAAAAUUUUGUAAAAUAAUCUUAUCUGGUAAAGCGAAUGAUUAGAGGCCUUAGGGUCGAAACGACCUUAACCUAUUCUCAAACUUUAAAUGGGUAAGAACCUCACCUUUCUUGGUAUGAAGGUUGUGGUUGUGAUAUAAUGUGCCCAGUGGGCCACUUUUGGUAAGCAGAACUGGCGCUGUGGGAUGAACCAAACGUAAUGUUACGGUGCCCAAAUUAACAACUCAUGCAGAAACCAUGAAAGGCGUUGGUUGCUUAAAACAGCAGGACGGUGGACAUGGAAGUCGUAAUCCGCUAAGGAGUGUGUAACAACUCACCUGCCGAAGCAACUAGCCCUUAAAAUGGAUGGCGCUUAAGUUGUAUACCUAUACAUUACCGCUAAAGUAGAUGGUUUAUAUUCAAUCUCGGUUGUAUAAUAAACUUUGAAACUUUAGUGAGUAGGAGGGUACAAUGGUGAGCAUAGAAGUGUUUGGCGUAAGCCUGCAUGGAGCUGCCAUUGGUACAGAUCUUGGUGGUAGUAGCAAAUAAUCGAAUGAGACCUUGGAGGACUGAAGUGGAGAAGGGUUUCGUGUGAACAGUGGUUGAUCACGAGUUAGUCGGUCCUAAGUUCAAGGCGAAAGCCGAAAAUUUUUCAAGUAACAAUGAAAAGAAACCUUAUUAAAUAAAGUUGACUUAGUAGUUUACCACUUGAGUAAUUUUGAACGAAAGGGAAUACGGUUCCAAUUCCGUAACCUGUUGAGUAUCCGUUUGUUAUUAAAUAUGGGCCAUGUGCUCAUCCUGGCAACAGGAACGACCAUAAAGAAGCCGUCGAGAGAUAUCGGAAGAGUUUUCUUUUCUGUUUUAUAGUCGUACUACCAUGGAAGUCUUUCGAAGAGAGAUAUGGUAGAUGGACUAGAAGAGCAUGACAUUUACUGUUGUGUCGAUAUUUUCUCCUCGGACCUUGAAAAUUUAUGGUGGGGUCACGCAAACUUCUCAACAGGCCGUACCAAUAUCCGCAGCUGGUCUCCAAGGUGAAGAGUCUCUAGUCGAUAGAAUAAUGUAGGUAAGGGAAGUCGA